rnacentral:tRNA from 13 species
UGCCUCAUAGCUCAAUGGCAGAGCAAGCGGCUGUUAACCGCGCAGCUGUAGGUUCGAGUCCUACUGAGGCAGCCA